rnacentral:lncRNA from 1 species
UUAUCCCUCCGAUGAAAAAUGUCCUUGUCCUCAAGGUCAGAACUGUGCCACAAAUUCAAGAAAUUUGCUUUGAAUGUAGCCCCAAUCUUCCCAGGUAGCUUCCUCUUCACUCAAAUUAGCCCACUGAACCAACACCGUGACUCCCACCCCAUUAUAACCUUCACCAUCUCCCUUCUCAAAAUAGCCACUGGAUAAACUAAGACAUCUCCGUUUGCAUCACAAAUCGGUUGUUGUUGUUGUGGAGUGAUGAUAGGGCCUACCAAUUUCUUCAACUGGGACAAAUGCAAUACAGGAUGGAUUUGAGAGUCUGGAGGAAGCUCUAAGCGGUAAGCAACUUUUCCUAUCCUUUGUAGAACCUUAUAAGGACCAUAGAAUUUAGCAUUGAGUUUGAGGUUCUUUCUUACUGCAACUGAAGCUUUUCUAUAUGGUUGAAGCUUCGGGUAUACCCAAUCCCCCACACUUAGGACUCUUUCCGAUCUAUUUUUAUCUAUAUAAAGCUUCAUUCUUGCUUGGGCUUGAGUGAGGUUAUCCUUCAAUCGUUGUAACAUCUCUUACUUUUAAAGCUAUGCAUGUCCCUACUUGGGACUGUACUGGUUGGGGUAAGGAUCCCAAGGGCAUUUGUGGUGGGACAAAUCCAUACAAUGCCCGGAAGGGGGUAGUUUUAAGAGCACUGUGGUGGUUUAUAUUGUACCACCACUCAGCUAAGGGUAACCACUAGACCUAUUGAUUAGGCUUAGUGAAUACCAUGGCACGCAAAUAUGCUUUCAAACACCUGUUCAAUCUCUCAGUUUGUCCAUCUGUCUAUGGGUGGUAAGAGGUGGACAUAUGUAACUUGACCCCCCAUAGAUUUGAGAAGUCUUUGCCAAAACUGACUAGUAAACACACUAUCUCUGUCGGAAACAAUAGUGUUAGGUAACCUAUGUAUCUUGUAUAUAUUUUCCUCAAGAACAAAUCAGUUACAUCUUGUUUUGUAAAUGGAUGCUUAAGAGCUAAGAAGUGGUCAUACUUGGUAAGCUUGUCCACUACCACCAAGAUGGCAUUUCUAUGGCUUGAGGAUGGAAACCAUUUCACAAAGUCCAUAACUAUGUCCUGCCAUGGUAACUUAGGAAUGGGUAGGGGCUGCAGUAAGUCAGGUAUGUGGAUAUUCUCAGUCUUCACUUGUUGAUAAAUGUCACAUUCUAAAACCCAUGUAUAUGCAUCCUUUUUCAUGUUAGGACAAUAAAAAAUCAUACGCAUCUUUUUAUAAGUCCCCAGUUGUCCAGAAUGACCCCCCAAAGGAGACUGCUGCACAGAUUCAAAGAUUUUAACCCUUAGAUUGGACCCCUGACCAAUGUAAAUCCUCUGAUUAUACCUGAGAAUUCUCUGAGCUAGAGCAUAACUAGAGUUAGAAUGUGUAUUGGUUAUCAAUUCUGUAAUCAAUUGAUGAACAACUUGAUUAUGUUUAUAACUCUGCUCUACCUCACUCAUCCAAGUAGGUUAAGUAGAACAAACGGCAUAUAGCGUUGAGUCCUCUUCUUGCUAUCUUUUUCUUGCUUCCUAGAUAGUGCAUCACCUACCCUAUUAUCAGCUCCCUUUUUGUAUUGAACUUCAUAAUCAAGACCAAGUAGUUUAGUUAGUCCUUUCUGUUGAAGUGUAGUAGUAACCCUCUGCUCCAGAAAAUAUUUUAGGCUAUGAUGACCUGUUCUUAUGAUAAAGUGGAUCCAUUGUAGAUAAUGUCUCCACUUAUCCAUAGCUGAUAGAACAACCAUGAACUCCUUUUCAUAGGUAGAUAAGCCCAAGUAUUUUGGUGCCAAGGCCUUGCGGAAAUAAGCAAGGGGCAUGUCUUCUUUCAUCAGCACAGCUCCCAUCCCUUUAGAGCAAGCAUCUGUCUCUAUUAUAAAUGUUUUGUUGAAAUCUUCUAGUGCUAACACUGGUGCACUGGUCAUAGACUGUUUAAGGGUCUGAAGUGUUUGAUCUGCUUCUAAGUCCCAAUGAAAAGUAAUUUUUUUAAACAAGUUGGUCAGUGAUCUACUAGUAACUCCAUAAGAUGUAAUGAAUCUUCUGUAGUAACUAGUAAGUCCCAAAAAUCCCCUUAAGGCCUUGAUUAUGGUAGGAGUAGGCCAAUUAGUCAUAGCCUCAAUUUUGGAAGGGUCACUAGUAACCCCUUCCCCUGUUAUAAUAUUCCCCAAAUAUUCCAUUUACGAUUGGCCAGAGGAACACUUUGAAAGUUUAGCAAAUAGAUAUUCCUUUCUGAGGACCCCUGGUACAUAUUUUAAUGUGUUACAUGCUCUUCUAUGGAAGGACUAUAUAUGAGAAUGUCGUCAAAAAAACACCAGCACAAACCUCCUGAUAUAGUCCUUGAACACGCGGUUCAUGAGUGAUUGGAAAGUGGUAGGGGCACUGGUCAACCCAAAAGGCAUGACCUUAAACUCAUAGUGUUUUAAAUGAGUUCGAAAAGCAAUUUAUAAAUGUCAUCUUCCCCCAUUCUUAUUUGAUGAUAUCCAGCCCUCAGAUAUAUUUUUGGAAAAAAUGCAUAACCCACACAACGUAUCCAUUAAAUCAUCAACUAAAGGAAUAGGAAAUUUAUCUUUUAUGGUCAUGUUAUUCAAAGCCCUAUAGUUUAUUCAAAACCUCCAACUUACAUCCUUUUUCUUAACUAGCAAAAUAGGGGAUGAAAAGGGGGAAUGGCUAGGUUGUAUUAUACCACCGUGGAGCAUUUCAUUAACUUUCUUUUCAAUCUCAUUUUCUUGAAAGAAACUGUAUCUAUAAAGCCUGAUACUUAUAGGGUUUGCAUAUGUUUUCAGGGGAAUCAAAUGAUC